GGUUUCUAUAUAUAGACCCGAAUCAUAUAGAACGCACAUACCACACCAACCCGACAACCGGCAGCCAUGGGACCCGGAACAGACAGUCUGUUUGUAAUUCUCAUCAUUAUUUCAGGCAUUAAUAAAGAUGCAUAUGUGGGAAAUGGUGUAUGUGCUUACACUACGUCAAGAAGCAUUGUAACAUCUACUGCGGCAACAUCCACUUCUGAGUACACGACGAGUAUAAUGACAACAUCCGUGUCCGAGCCGUCCACAACAACGGAUGGAAUGACAACAUCCACUCCUGAGCCGGCCACGACAGUGGAUGGAAUGAUGACAACAUCCGUGACCGAGCCGGCCACGACAGUGGACGAAAUGAUGACAACAUCCGUGACCGAGCCGGCCACGACAGUGGACGAAAUGAUGACAACAUCCGUGACCGAGCCGGCCACAACGGUUAAUGGAAUGAUGACAACAUCUGGUCCAAUGACGUCAGCCAAGGUCGCUGACGGUAAAUAUUAAUCAUAAAUUAUUUCCUUUAAAAUAUUUGCUCAUUAAUUGUUUAUUUGCUACAUCCUGUUAACGUAAUUAUUAGAUAAUCACUUGAUCACGUGUAAAUUUAUGAAUAUUAUUAUUGUUUGAUUUGAGAUUAUAUCGUUUUAUAGCAUUUGUGUGUCUAAUUUGAGGACAUAGAAUCAAAUGUUUGAGUUGUGCAGAUGUAUUAAGUACUAUUCUAAUGUUUCCAGCUGUGACCACAGACCACGGACUUAACAUUUUGUCACUAUUUUACACCUAUGUGAUGAAAACUUACAUCUCAACACUUGUCAUUAACACCUUACCCAUUGAUGUCAUUUACAUCCCACAAUAUAAUACACCAUUAUAUACACAACAGAGAUCAAAUUGCAUGUCGGCCAUUUCACAUUAAAACACAGGGACUAGUACGUUUGACGAAUAUGAUAAUUCAUUUCUUCAUUAGUUUUAUUGUAGAAUGUAUACCGGAAGUGUAAAGUAGAAGCAGAAGAGCAUCACACACGAUGUAUCAAUUUGACAAUUCACCUUUUUCCAUUGUUCAUGUAUAUUGUCCAUUGUCCAUGUAUAUUGUCCAUUGUCCAUGUCUAUUAUCCAUUGUCCAUGGCUAUUGUCCAUUUUCCAUGUCCAUCGUGUAUCAUCCGUGUCUAUUGUCAAUUGUCCAUGUCUAUUGUAUAUUGUCCAUUGCUAUUGUCCAUGUCUUUUUGGUGUCCUCUGUCAGGACUCUCGUUGUCAUAGUGUGGUGUAUAGUAUGAGCGAUAUAAGUAUGCUAGUGAAGGCCCCAUUAAUGCAGCGUUGUCACCUUACCAAAUCCGUAAGUAUAUUUACGUUCAAUUUUAUUGUAAAAAUAGUAACACGUGAUAUCAAUUAUAAUUCAAUCUAGUAAAACUGCAGCAUCUUUAUAUAAUUCUAGUGCCUUUUAAACUUCAUAUACAUCUUCAAAUAUGAAAUAGGUUAUAAUUCAAACAGAUUAAUAAUGUAAUUCAAUGAAUAAUAUCCACUACAGCGGUACAUACAGCUGACGAUAAGUUCUUUGUUUUAAUGCAUCUUACUUAAACGUGGAAUCUUUAAAAUGUGAAACAUUCUAAUUGUAUACAAGUCACUGAAACAAUCUAAAGACUAUGCCAAUUAUUUUCAGAUACAAUCUCGAUCCCUCAGAGUACAGCACCACUAUAUUGCUCAGCAGGCUGAUGAUGAAAUGGGAAGGUGUAAUGGCAAUAGAGUUAGACACAGUAAAGCCACAACUUAAUUAAACUAAUCUUUCAACGUUGUUUUGACCUUAAUCAUAUAGAACACACAUACCACACCAACCCGACAAACGGUGUCAUGGGACGCGGAGCAGACAGUCUGUUUGUAUUUCUCAUCAUUACUUUAGGAAUAAAUGAAGUGUGUACCCAGGAUCCCUGUGAUACACAUGACGUAAUCCAGGUGGACGAGAAACGACUUCCGAGUAACACUGAGACUAAUCCAGACAAUGGCGAGUGUGAUAAUCUCAUUAGUCCUGGGUGGUACAGGUUAAUGGGUAAUUUCAGCACCGAUCUAUAUAAUGACACCGCAUCUGUCAAUCAAUGUGGAACAUCUUAUCCUUUAUGGAUGACAGGUAAUAUUGUCAGCACUUUUUUUAAUUGGUAUUUUUUCAUUUAUUCAUUUUCUAUAUCACACAACCAUCCUCUCUAUACAGAUUUUACCCAUGUACCUUCCAAUAUACAGCCAAACCCACACACCUU